rnacentral:rRNA from 1 species
GAUGAACGCUGGCGGCGUGCCUAAUACAUGCAAGUCGAGCGAACAGAUGAGGAGCUUGCUCCUCUGACGUUAGCGGCGGACGGGUGAGUAACACGUGGAUAACCUACCUAUAAGACUGGGAUAACUUCGGGAAACCGGAGCUAAUACCGGAUAAUAUAUUGAACCGCAUGGUUCAAUAGUGAAAGACGGUUUUGCUGUCACUUAUAGAUGGAUCCGCGCCGCAUUAGCUAGUUGGUAAGGUAACGGCUUACCAAGGCAACGAUGCGUAGCCGACCGGAGAGGGGGAUCGGCCACAUUGGAACUGAGACACGGUCCAGACUCCUACGGGAGGCAGCAGUAGGGAAUCUUCCGCAAUGGGCGAAAGCCUGACGGAGCAACGCCGCGUGAGUGAUGAAGGCCUUCGGAUCGUAAAACUCUGUUAUUAGGGAAGAACAAAUGUGUAAGUAACUAUGCACGUCUUGACGGUACCUAAUCAGAAAGCCACGGCUAACUACGUG